UACGUAGGGACCAAGCGUUGUUCGGAUUUACUGGGCGUAAAGGGCUCGUAGGCGGCCAACUAAGUCGGACGUGAAAUCCCCAGGCUCAACCUGGGAACUGCAUCCGAUACUGGAUGGCUUGAAUUCGGGAGAGGGAUGCAGAAUUCCAGGUGUAGCGGUGAAAUGCGUAGAUAUCUGGAGGAAUACCGGUGGCGAAGGCGGCAUCCUGGACCGACAUUGACGCUGAGGAGCGAAAGCUAGGGGAGCAAACGGG
rnacentral:rRNA from 1 species